CGUAGGGUGCAAGCGUUAAUCGGAAUUACUGGGCGUAAAGCGUGCGCAGGCGGUUGUGCAAGACAGUUGUGAAACGUCCCCGGGCUUAACCUGGGAAUUGCAUCUGUGACUGCACGGCUAGAGUGUGUCAGAGGGGGUAGAAUUCCACGUGUAGCAGUGAAAUGCGUAGAUAUGUGGAGGAAUACCGAUGGCGAAGGCAGCCCCCUGGGAUAACACUGACGCUCAUGCACGAAAGCGUGGGGAGCAAACAGGAUUAGAUACCCUGGUAGUCCACGCCCUAAACGAUGUCUACUAGUUGUCGGGUCUUAAUUGACUUGGUAACGCAGCUAACGCGUGAAGUAGACCGCCUGGGGAGUACGGUCGCAAGAUUA
rnacentral:rRNA from 1 species